rnacentral:rRNA from 1 species
GAUGAACGCUGGCGGCGUGCCUAACACAUGCAAGUCGAGCGUGAACCCUACGAAUGAAACUUCGGUAGAUUUUGUAGGGGGAAAGCGGCGGACGGGUGAGUAUCGCGUAGGUAACCUGCCCUAUACUGGGGGAUAGCCUCGGGAAACCGGGAUUAAUACCUCAUAAAGCCAUGCUUUUGCAUGAGAGUAUGGCCAAAGAUUUAUCGGUAUAGGAUGGGCCUGCGUCUGAUUAGCUGGUUGGUAGGGUAACGGCCUACCAAGGCAACGAUCAGUAGCCGACCUGAGAGGGUGAUCGGCCACAUUGGAACUGAGACACGGUCCAAACUCCUACGGGAGGCAGCAGUGGGGAAUAUUGCACAAUGGGCGAAAGCCUGAUGCAGCAACGCCGCGUGAACGAAGAAGGCCUUUGGGUCGUAAAGUUCUGUCCAAGAGGAAGAUAAUGACGGUACUCUUGGAGGAAGCCCCGGCUAACUACGUGCCAGCAGCCGCGGUAACACGUAGGGGGCAAGCGUUAUCCGGAAUUAUUGGGCCGUAAAGGGUGCGUAGGCGGCUUCUUAAGCGUGGGGUGAAAUGCAAUAGCUCAACUAUUGUAAGCCUUGCGAACUGGGGAA